GUAGAGGUAGAUAAGCUUAUUGCUGUGGAAAACUAGCUUAGAUAGGCACUUUUGGUCAAUAUAUAUUGCUUUACUAUAUAUGAUCUAGCCUGCCCUAUUUAUGGGUUGUGGAGAUUUGUUGGUGCCAGGAGAUGUAGGAGUUAUUCAUUCUUCUGAAGGUGUUGCCCCAAUGUUUCAAACUGGAAGCUCUGGUAGCUCAAAUCUAUUCAAGUUGCCAGCUGCUGCAGUCCUUGCAACUUUUGACAGUGAUUUUGCUUACAACUAUCUUAGUGGUACAAUACCAAAGGAAUGGGCUUCAAGCUUGCAGUGAUUUUGCUUACAACUAUCUUGGGAGAUGGAGCAAAUUGUAUUCUUUUUUAUUAUCAUGUAAAGCUCAUGAAACUUGAAAGCCUGUUAAGCUAAUGAAAUAGAUAUAGGCACUUAGGCAAGGUUAAUUCUUGUGUAAAUGUUGAGAUGAAUACUGCUGAUGGAAUGAAAUGGUUUUUGGAAUCAAG